AACAGAACCUGCCUCUCUGGAGUCCAAGCUCAGUACCUUAACUAGAAGACCAGCUUUCCUCUGCCACCUGAAGUGUCCCGUGGAGAAAACGUGUGCUGUUAAACAGCUGCCGUGUUCUACCCCAGAAGUUGCUGCUUUUCUGUAACAGACAAACUGACCUAUCCUGCAAAACUUUGCAGAAACCUAUAAGGAAGCAGUCCACCCGAAGAUUCAUCACUGGUGUAACUGCACUGACUUCGUUGGAGGGAGCGUUUUAUGGGACAAGCGUGAGCAUGGGA